rnacentral:misc_RNA from 1 species
GGAAGGAUCAUUACUGAUUUGCUUAAUUGCACCACAUGUGUUUUUUAUUGAACAAAUUUCUUUGGUGGCGGGAGCAAUCCUACCGCCAGAGGUUAUAACUAAACCAAACUUUUUAUUUACAGUCAAACUUGAUUUAUUAUUACAAUAGUCAAAACUUUCAACAACGGAUCUCUUGGUUCUCGCAUCGAUGAAGAACGCAGCGAAAUGCGAUACGUAAUAUGAAUUGCAGAUAUUCGUGAAUCAUCGAAUCUUUGAACGCACAUUGCGCCCUUUGGUAUUCCAAAGGGCAUGCCUGUUUGAGCGUCAUUUCUCCCUCAAACCCCCGGGUUUGGUGUUGAGCAAUACGCUAGGUUUGUUUGAAAGAAUUUAACGUGGAAACUUAUUUUAAGCGACUUAGGUUUAUCCAAAAACGCUUAUUUUGCUAGUGGCCACCACAAUUUAUUUCAUAACUUUGACCUCAAAUCAGGUAGGACUACCCGCUGAACUUAA